UCGAGGAUCUUUAGCAAUGCCCGAAAGGGUGACUAUGCGACGCCGCGUGGAGGAUGAAGGCCUUCGGGUUGUAAACUCCUGUCAAGAGGGAAGAAACCUUGCACGUGAAUAGCGUGUAAGCUGACAUUACCUCUAAAGGAAGCCACGGCUAACUCUGUGCCAGCAGCCGCGGUAAGACAGAGGUGGCAAGCGUUGUUCGGAUUCAUUGGGUGUAAAGGGCAGGUAGGCUGUUUUGCAAGUCUGACGUGAAAUCCCAGGGCUCAACCCUGGAACUGCGUUGGAAACUGCAUGACUUGAGUACUGUAGAGGUGUGGGGAAUUCUCGGUGUAAGGGUGAAAUCUGUAGAUAUCGAGAGGAACACCAGUGGCGAAGGCGCCACACUGGACAGUUACUGACGCUGAGCUGCGAAAGCAAGGGGAGCAAACAGGAUUAGAUACCCCGGUAGUCC
rnacentral:rRNA from 1 species